rnacentral:rRNA from 1 species
UACAGAGGUCCCAAGCGUUGUUCGGAUUCAUUGGGCGUAAAGGGUGCGUAGGCGGUGGGGUAAGUUGGAUGUGAAAUCUUGGGGCUUAACCUCAAAAUUGCAUUCAAUACUGCUCCGCUCGAGUUCUGUAGAGGAGAUUGGAAUUUACGGUGUAGCAGUGAAAUGCGUAGAUAUCGUAAGGAACGCCAGUGGCGAAAGCGAAUCUCUGGGCAGCGACUGACGCUGAGGCACGAAGGCCAGGGGAGCAAACGGG